rnacentral:rRNA from 1 species
AUGGAGAACCCCAGCGACAUCGACCCCACGUUGGAGCCGCAGUACAUGAUGCGGCUAAAGAGCAAGUGUGCCAGCCUCAACGACAACACUACCCUCAUGGAGAUGGACCCCAGCAGCUUCAAGACCUUCGACACCGACUACUUCAAGCUGGUGAGCAAGCGGAGGGGCCUCUUCCACUCCAACGGCGCCCUCCUCACCGACCCCUUCACCCGCACCUACGUCCAGCGCCAUGCCACCGGCGCCUUCAAGGGCGAGUUCUUCGCCGACUUCGCCGCCUCCAUGAUCAAGAUGGGCAACGCCAACCCGCUCACCGGAAGCCAGGGUGAGAUCGGGAAGAAGUGCAGCGUGGUCAACCAUUAA